ACAAACACCGCUCGACAGAGCAGAGGCGGGAGGGGGGGUGUAGAAAGAGAAGACAUUUACACCUCUCACAGCCUCCGUCAAAGAAAAACAGCGAGAAAAGACAUUUGGUGGACAGUACUCAACCAGACCAUACAUCGUGUGUACGUUUGAUCAAAUUGUGCAGGUGAGAAUCGACAUUUGAAACGGUUGGGUUGUCGUGGUGUAUGGUUGAAGACCGAAAAAGGACACCGAAAAUUGGAUCAACAUCAACUUAAUAUGGAAUUUCCGAUGGCCCAAGAGACGAACCCGAGCCUGACGCCUGUGCUUUGUGCCACUGGCUGUGGUUUCUAUGGCAACCCCAGAAACAACGGCAUGUGCUCGGUCUGCUACAAGGAGCAUCUGAACCGACAGCAGAGUAGUGACUGCAGCUUAAGCCAACUUAGCCCAAUGGGAGCAGUCGGUAGUCCUACCUCUGAGGCCUCAGCCAUCCAGAGGCUAGAGGCCAGUCUUGCCAAAGUAGACCCUUCAUCCGGCUCUGCUACAGACAUGGCUAGAACUAUUCAAGGCUCUCUUCCAGUGACUCAACAAAUGACCGAGAUGAGCAUCUCAAGAGAGGAUAACCCAGAUUCCCUAGAGCCUGUUGUGAGUCAGCCUACUGCGUCUAGCCCCGUCAAGGCCAGCGGCGACGAGGCCAAGGAGGACACCCCAAGCCCAAGAAGAAUAAGUGCUUCAUGUGCCGCAAGAGGGUGGGCCUCACAGGGUUCGACUGUCGCUGUGGGAACCUGUUCUGUGGUGUCCAUCGGUACUCCGACAAGCACAACUGUCCUUACGACUACAAGGCUGAGGCAGCUGCCAAGAUCCGCAAGGAGAACCCUGUUGUGGUCGCUGACAAGAUCCAGAGAAUAUAGGCUUAAGAACCAUCCACACAGAGACUAGAGUAUGAUGUCGAACCCUUGACAUGAACACUGGCACGAGUGGCAAAAGGAUGUCAUUUUUAAAGUCACAACCUUGAGAAAGGACAGAGAUCCUGCCCGUUGGGGAGAUGCAUGAACGGUCACUUUUUUGUUACGUUUAUUAUAAUUUUUUUCCCUCUUUGCUGAUAUUCUGUAUAUAUAUAUAAAAAAAAGAUUUUAAAAGAGCAGCCCAGGGUAACUUUCCAGGAGAGACGUAUCUGUUCUGCAGAACCUAUAUCUAUCUGGACGUUCUAUCCCAAAUAUGGCCCGUGAGCUGUUUGGCCACUUUGUUGUCAAAUAGCCAACAGCUAUUCUUUUCUAAAGUUGUGUGCACAUGCAGUAUCCCGACGGGUUCAGUUGAAUCUCCAUUUCUACGUUCCGUUCCCAUUAGUGUCAGUCGGGUCAGUUGUCAGAUAGGUAUGACUAUCUCCCAAAAUGCUCUCCCAAAAUGCAGGUGGGCUUUUAUCCCCCAGACUGUGACCUGCCUACCACAGCAGCAGGUCAUGUUUCUCCUCAUCACAAUGUCCACGUGAAGCUUUUUCCUUAUCGUCUCCCCUUACAAUCACUUCAUUAUUUCCAGAGGAAUGGGUUACCUCUGACAUUUUUAAAGCAGUCCUUAGGCACUAUUUCUGUUUGAUCACCCGAACGCCGUGGCCCGUCUUUAUGGUCAUUGUAAGAGGUGUGAGAAGGAGUACAAAAACACAUUUUUACCAACUAUCAUGUGGGACAGGACUUUUAGUCAAGGAGAUCCUAGACUAAUCUAAGGUCAGAAUCUCCCAACUGUGGUCUCGGCAGAGGCUUGCGUGCAUUGACCCUGGUGCAGUUCUCUGGGUGAGACUUAGGCACUACCCAUCUGUUUUUAUUGGCUAUAUGGGGGAGGUGAAUGGGAGAGCAACCCCAUGCAGUAAUAUCUUAAAUCAUGUAAAAUAUCUGAAUGAAUUGUUUGGUCAUUAUUGUAUCUGCUGAGAGACAUGUUUAAUCCCUGUUUUUUAUAUACAUUAACAUAGUACUGAUAUUAGCACAUGUAUUCAGUGCAGUUGUGAAGUUAGGGUAUAUGAGACAGCCUUGCUUUGUGUUGAUUUUGGUGUGCGUGUUCAGUGAGUUUGAGUGAACACAUGGGUGUCAGAUUGUGUGAAGCAAAAUAUCCCGUAGCUCUGCACAUGUUUCCAAGGCUACAGGAGCAUGGCAGAACUGAGAUUUUGAUAACUAGAUUCCAGAGUUGGAUUCCAACGGAUCUUUUCAGCUUUCUUUCCCUUAUUGGUCUGUGUGACUGAUCUAGAGCAGCGCGUGUGUGUGUGAGACUAUCCUUGGCUGUGUGAAACAUUGAUACAAGUGUGUCCUGUGUAGAUUUUUCUUCUCCCAUAGGGAUGAGGUUUUUACCCUUAAAAACAAAGGUAUCCAUUUCAGUUUUUUCCUUUUAGUUAUGCAAAUUUGUACAAAAAAAAACGGAUAUUUAUGAAUGACAUAAUCUUGCUACCCAGCAUUACAGCAUAAUUGUAUCAUGUAAAUAAAGACUGUGUACAGAGACA